rnacentral:rRNA from 1 species
CCGCGACCCCAGGUCAGGCGGGACUACCCWGUGAGUUUAA